UACUCCUACGGGAGGCAGCAGUGGGGAAUUUUGGACAAUGGGCGCAAGCCUGAUCCAGCCAUGCCGCGUGCGGGAAGAAGGCCUUCGGGUUGUAAACCGCUUUUGUCAGGGAAGAAAUCCUUUGGGUUAAUACCUCGGAGGGAUGACGGUACCUGAAGAAUAAGCACCGGCUAACUACGUGCCAGCAGCCGCGGUAAUACGUAGGGUGCGAGCGUUAAUCGGAAUUACUGGGCGUAAAGCGUGCGCAGGCGGUCUUGCAAGACAGGUGUGAAAUCCCCGGGCUUAACCUGGGAACUGCACUUGUGACUGUAUAGCUAGAGUACGGUAGAGGGGGAUGGAAUUCCGCGUGUAGCAGUGAAAUGCGUAGAUAUGCGGAGGAACACCGAUGGCGAAGGCAAUCCCCUGGACCUGUACUGACGCUCAUGCACGAAAGCGUGGGGAGCAAACAGGAUUAGAUACCCUGGUAGUCCACGCCCUAAACGAUGUCAACUGGUUGUUGGGUCUUCACUGACUCAGUAACGAAGCUAACGCGUGAAGUUGACCGCCUGGGGAGUACGGCCGCAAGGUUGAAACUCAAAUGAAUGACGG
rnacentral:rRNA from 1 species